rnacentral:rRNA from 1 species
CACGUAGGGGCCAAGCGUUGUCCGGAAUCAUUGGGCGUAAAGAGCUCGUAGGCGGCUCAGUAAGUCGGGUGUGAAACCCUCAGGCUCAACCUGGGGACGCCACCCGAUACUGCUGUGGCUAGAGUCCAGUAGGGGAGUGUGGAAUUCCCGGUGUAGCGGUGAAAUGCGCAGAUAUCGGGAGGAACACCAGCGGCGAAGGCGGCACUCUGGGCUGGUACUGACGCUGAGGAGCGAAAGCGUGGGUAGCAAACAGG